CUCUAAAAGGCUGGUCCACAAAAACCCCCUACUGCAGUGAUUAAUUAAUAUAUAAUCCACUAUAUAAUAAAAUUUUGAUGGCAUGACAGGGCUAAUGAAAUUUUACCCAACCUGCAAGGGUAAAAUAAAAUAAUUCAUACAAUUCAUAAAAUACAGCCCAGCCAGUCAUGCCAACACAAUAAAAAUAUAACAUAAGCCAUCAAUUUAAACAAUCAAAUUGCCAUAAUUAACAGUCUCAAUGUACUCUAUUUUUCAAAAUCAUUAUUAAUUUCAAAACAAUUUAUAAAUUAAUUUCAUUGGAACACCUUUAUUCAUAAAACAUGAAAAUUUACCUUUUUAAAUCCAUUUUUCCAUAGAAUUCAUGAAAUCAUCUAAAAACCACCCUAGAUAAUUAAAAUAACAGUAAGUUUACUCACAAUGUCUAGAAUGCAGACUUUCGAAGUACUCUGUCUACUGGUCCUCGGAUGCAAUUUCCUUACCUUUAUCGGAGGACUCACCACCUUGACACAGUAUAAAAUUGAGAAAUUCACCACAUUGAUACUAAAUUGAAAUUAAACUAAUUUAGACUACUAAUGCAUGAUAUGGAAUGCAAAAAUAUCCGAAUAGCCGUUUAAAUACGGUAUUCGACCUAAUUCGUACUAUUCUCGGUGUAAUUGGCUAAAACCUCCAGUUUAACUCCAAAUCGAUGUCUUUCACUUUCUACACUCCAAUUAUACUUAAAAUACCUCAAUGACUAUGAAUAUAAUUCAAUUUAUCAGUUUGAACCAUAAAUUGUACAUGUCUAUACAUUAGGUAAAAAUUUAGAUUUUCAUGCCAAAAUUUCCCAUUAAAUUUCUAGCCUCACCAAUCAUUAAAUACCACUAAAAUAUCAUGAAAUAUCAUCAAUUUCAGCCUCAAUAUCCUCCCUAGAAAAUUCAGCCUCUUGUGGGUUUGUGAAGAACAAAGUGAUUUCUUGCUAGAUUUUAAUACUUUCCGUUACUAAACAACCAAAAACACUUAAUUAACUUGAAAUCUAGCAAAAUUAAUGCUCAAAACCUCUCCUCUCAAAUUUGGCCAGCAUGGGUUCAUCAUGAAAACUUGAGUUCUAAGCAUGGAAAAUGAAAAAGAAAGCAUGGGUAGUGUAAAUCACAAGAUAAAAUCACAAAAUUUUACCUUUAUUAGCUUAAUUCCUUGAAAUCCCGCACUUUUUCUUCAAUUUUCUCACCUAGGUUUUGUUCUUUCUUUGUUCUUCUUCACUUCAUGCUUUGGCCGGCC
rnacentral:lncRNA from 1 species